GGCCGACAAACGCAAACCCGGCGCAAGCCGGGGACGCAAAGCCACAGGGCCCACGAGGCCGGCUGGGCUACCGAC
rnacentral:ncRNA from 1 species